CGAGGCCGAUAGGCGUAGGCGAUGGACAACAGGUAGAGAUUCCUGUACCAGUGCUAAUUGUUUAACCGAUGGGGUGACACAGAAGGAUAGGGAAUCGCACGAAUGGAAAUGUGCGUCCAAGCAGUGAGUGUGAGAAGUAGGCAAAUCCGCUUCUCGCGAAGCAUGAGCUGUGAUGGGGAAGGAAAUUAAGUACGGAAGUUCCUGAUUUCACGCUGUCAAGAAAAGCCUCUAGGAAGAGUAGUACUGCCCGUACCGCAAACCGACACAGGUAGAUGAGGAGAGAAUCCUAAGGUGAGCGAGAGAACUCUCGUUAAGGAACUCGGCAAAAUGACCCCGUAACUUCGGGAGAAGGGGUGCUCUAUUAGGGUGCAAGCCCGAGAGAGCCGCAGUGAAUAGGCCCAGGCGACUGUUUAGCAAAAACACAGGUCUCUGCAAAACCGUAAGGUGACGUAUAGGGGCUGACGCCUGCCCGGUGCUGGAAGGUUAAGAGGAGUGCUUAGCUUCGGCGAAGGUACGAAUUGAAGCCCCAGUAAACGGCGGCCGUAACUAUAACGGUCCUAAGGUAGCGAAAUUCCUUGUCGGGUAAGUUCCGACCCGCACGAAAGGCGCAACGAUCUGG
rnacentral:rRNA from 1 species